UUGCUACGCGCCGAGGUUGCCAGCUCCUGAGACGCUUGCUAGACUUGGUGACACUAGUCAGUUUUAAUCCGGCAACAGUAGCAGCGUAGCAGCAUGGCGUCUCGCUUGUGCAGUCGUGAUGUGUGCGUGCAGCAGGUGUGUGUUUGGGUUUUAUAAGUUGGUUCUUUAUUCUGUGUUGCGGGACGGUGUGGGUGUGGUCCAUGUUGGCCGUACAGGUGGCAGUUAUGCAACCGAGGGAUGAUCCUGUUGAAGUUUCCGGCGGUAUGCGGUUUUCAGCGGUCACGCCUGUUGCAGGAGUGUCACUCGACGAGGUUACGAGCUCGAAGCUGUGGUCAGAUUCCUCGUUGGUGUUCCGUAAUUCUCUUCGCACGUGCGCGGGGCCUGAUGUGCAUAUCUGCAGUUUAUGGAUACAUGUAAAAGACUCAGCAUCAAGUGCAAGUGAAUGGUCCCACAGGCGCGCAGUCGAUCAUGCAAAUAGAUUCGCUGCACACAUUUGUGACCAGAAAAUAUAUUCCACAUGAAAUGGCAUGCAAGGAAGUGUUGGAAACAUUACACAGUUAAUAAAACGCCUACGCUAUCAAUAUGUGGGUUGAUGCACUCGUUAUGCAAAACGGAGGUGAGGCGUGCAGACAGGACACGAGAGUAGAGUAUUUACAAGCAAACAACACAAGCGCCGCCCACUUCUCUACUCUUGUGUCCUGUCUGCACGCCUCACCUCUGUUUUGCAUAAUGAAUCCUUACCAACUAGCUCAGCUUUCUGUCGUUCUAAGUCUCGAUGCACUCGAUUUCGUCCGCAUUAUAGGCACUCGCCUCUUGAUUACUUCGUGGCACAGAAAUAUUCGGCAUCAGGCUGUUUUUCUGCUGUGGCCUUUGUAGAAGCAUGAUUGUUCAAAGUGCAACAAUUAAACAGAUUCUUUGAGUUGCUUGUGGCUUCGCCAGUACAAUUCCGGUGCGCUGGUCUGCCUGUCCAGCAAUUUCCUACUGAAGGGAAACCUGCAAAUAAAAACACCGCUCCGCAUGCAUAAAAAUGCACUAAUGUGACGCUUCUCAAACGAUUGUUAUGCACCACAAGAGCUGCCUACUCGCGUGACACUCUCAACAAGGAGAUACAUUCGUUUACUUACAUGUGAAGGUAUAUGCCAGAGCACUUCGGGGCUUCGGUGGCACAUAAGGCACGAACGAGUGUGUCAUAGCGUCCGAUGUCGACGCGCGAAAAAACAGAUUCGAAACCGAAAUUCGUGUCAUCCUUUAUUGCAUGAAUGCGUACAUCGUGAUUUACAUAAGUCAUGGACUUAGCGAUCGCUUUCUGUAAAUUUAAUAUAACGUUCCACCUUCAUAAAGCCAUCAGGUAUGCGUUUUUAGAUGACAAAGCAUUAGGUGACCUGUACUUGUUUUCAGCCCUUUCAAUAGUAAUUGCGCUGGCCACAUUGACCAGUAGCAACAGGGCGGCGCCCUAGAGGUUCCCACUUUUCCGGCCCAGCUUUUCCUCUAGAGUUUUUCUACUAACUCUAUGCGCCGCGCGUUGCGAGUAAUUCAGCUGCGUCUUAGGAUUCGUUUGGCUAAGUGAAAUAUGCUAGCUAGGUUGUAACUGUUGCCAGAUGAGUGACAGCCAUUCCGCUAAACGUGACAAAAAAUAGGCGGUGAAAAAAAAGUUUUUUUUUUUUCAGUGUAGGAGAGGCACAGAUCCCGUGCAUGUGUCAAAGGGGGCGUUGCUGGAUGCUGCCUAGGCUUCGAAAACUCUUGAUAUUGAGAUAAAUAUUUCGCGUGCGCGCAAAUGAAACGCUGCGCCAUGUUAAGGAAAAAAUAGAGAUUUUAAAUUACACAAAAACAAAAAAAUCGAUUUUUUUUUUUCGGAAACUUUGCCUACCCUGUUCCCUUAAGUGCUUGGGGUCAUGGUCUGAAUGUUGGCAGUAGUGAUGCAGCUGCUGAUGAACAGUCGCAGUAGCCAAAACAUGACAAUAUUUUACAGGACUUAUGCACAGUUUCGAAUUGGUGUCCUUACAUGUAGCGAAGGGCCUACUUAACCAAGGGACUGCCUUGAGUGGGUGAUCACAGUGAACAAACAGUGCUUCACUAACAGAUGGUGAAGAGGUAAAGCUUCUCAGUCUGUAUGCAGAGGCAUGGAAAGCAGCUGAAUGUUAAGUGAGCAGUUAUGCUACUUGAUACAACAGCAUCAUUUUCACACCAUGCAUCUGUCUUCCUCACUUUAUUUUCUCCUUUGACUCAAUGUAGCUGGUGCAAGUUUAUCCGUUAACUGUGGCGGCAUGACUAAGAGGAGGAGGAGGAAUAAACUUUAUUUGUGCACAGCAGAUUUGAGACCUAGGCCUCUACCUAAAUGACGGCCUCGAGCCCUUGGGCCCUGGCGGCAUCUUCGGCCUGCUGGAUUGCCUUGCGUUGGUCUUCCGGUGCACAGCUGAGCAACGCGGUCUCCCACUGCUCUCUGGUUUUAAUUAUUUUAUUCUGUAUGGGUGUACGAGGACAAGCCCAUACCAUGUGUUGUAGGUCCGCCCUUUCUUCACAGAAUCUACAUCUAUCCGUGUAAAGGUCCGGAUAGUAGCGGUGGUAGGCCACCGGGUUCGGAUAUGUAUCUGUUUGUAAGAGGCGCCAUGCCGUCGCUUGCUGUCUAUUUAACGAGGAGUGUGCCGGGGGGAAAUGGGCCCUUCCCAAUUUAUAGUGUUUGGUGAUCUCGUUAAUGACUAAGACACUAUCUUUUUUCUGAAUGAAACAAGCAAACUCUGAAAUUUUAUUUCAACAGUGUAUUACGGUUUGAAUCAAAGACUUCAAACACUAUAUAUGAAGCCUGUUCUGAUAGUCUUCUUUGCUGUCGUGUGCUGAAGGCUACACAGGUUAAACUACUUUUACACAUUUUGACGUGUGGUGGUUGAACUAGCACUCAGAGAAGAAUUGUGUCUUCUGAUUUUGCAAUAUGUGCACUGAUGUUUAGCUGUUUUUGUUCAUGAAUAUGUGGUUUUAAAAAUGGUAAAUCCAUGUUUUUACUUAAAUAAGUUCUCAGAUCUGUACUCACUUUUGCUUAAAUAAUAUUACUGUAUUGUCAUGUUCUGAUAUAUUGCUGUAGAUCUUGUACCAAUAGCGAUGCUUGUCCUGUUUCCUUGCUUCUUGUCAAUGUGCCAUGCCAGUUUGUUCUUUUUGCACAAGCUCACUUGUGUUCUAGCUGUCACAUAUCACAACACUUUUGGGAUGAAUGCAAAAGUGCAUAGCCUAAAGAAAAUAGCUUCAUAUGAAGUUGUAAUAUUAUAAAAGCAUGUGCCAAUUAGACCUAGUGUUCUGUACAGCAUCUGUGAGCACAAAUGGGCAUGGUGAAGUUGGUACUUCAGUCUGUGUUCUUCCUCUUAUGUAUUUGUUUAAAUGUGGCUAAAGUUGCUUGCUUAUUCUUUAGAUAAUGGAGUGUAAAAUAAACCCUAGUCAUGUUUGUAGUCA